rnacentral:rRNA from 1 species
UCCAGACUCCUACGGGAGGCAGCAGUGGGGAAUAUUGCACAAUGGGGGAAACCCUGAUGCAGCAACGCCGUGUGAGUGAAGAAGCGUUUCGGCGCGUAAAGCUCUGUCAGCGGGGAAGAAAGAAGACGGUACCCGACCAAGAAGCCCCGGCUAACUACGUGCCAGCAGCCGCGGUAAUACGUAGGGGGCAAGCGUUAUCCGGAUUCACUGGGUGUAAAGGGAGCGUAGACGGCGACGCAAGUCUGGAGUGAAAGCCCGGGGCCCAACCCCGGGACUGCUCUGGAAACUGCGUCGCUGGAGUACGGGAGGGGCAGGCGGAAUUCCUGGUGUAGCGGUGAAAUGCGUAGAUAUUAGGAGGAACACCAGUGGCGAAGGCGGCUUACUGGACUGUAACUGACGUUGAGGCUCGAAAGCGUGGGGAGCAAACAGGAUUAGAUACCCGCGUAGU